rnacentral:rRNA from 1 species
CGUGUCGUGAGAUGUUGGGUUAAGUCCCGCAACGAGCGCAACCCCUAUCCUUUGUUGCCAGCACGCAAUGGUGGGAACUCAAAGGAGACUGCCGCGGACAACGCGGAGGAAGGCGGGGAUGACGUCAAGUCAUCAUGCCCCUUAUGUCCUGGGCUACACACGUACUACAAUGGGAUGGACAGAGAGCAGCGAAGCCGCGAGGCCAAGCCGAACCCCAUAAACCAUCUCCCAGUUCGGAUUGCAGGCUGAACCCGCCUGCA